AUGCUGGGAUGAGCAGAGAUGGGGUGUCAUGGGGCCAUCGACCAGUUGUUUGAUCUGAGAUAGUCGCAGAGUUCUCAGCGCCCACGGGGAGCACCACCGCGAAUGGGCUGCAGUGCCCAACCUGCUUCGCUCUGAACUCUGAUCCCUGCCACAGCCAAAUAACCCCUUGUACCGGGGAUGAGACCUAUUGCGUCGAUUUCGCUGGGUACCUAGAGAAAGGUACAGCUCCUUCAUAUCAAGCAACAUUUGUUGCAAAAGGUUGCGCUACUGCAUCUGCACAAAACAUUAAAAGUUUAACCACCUGGAUUUCUACCAUCUACACGUACGUGUUCACCCAGGCGACCUCCAAACCUGCGGAGAAAACACCCCCCAGUGGGGCCGGCCCGGCCCUGGGGCGAUUCUCCUUCGCCCUCUACCUGCCUGGCCUGACUGGGCUGCUGCUGGUGAAGCUGCUCUCCUGACCCCCGCCCAGCAUGGCCCACGCAGCACCUGAUUCCUGCGCGUUGCAGCCCGAGCUCGGAAUCGUAUGUUAAUUCUAUUGAUUACUUACAAAUUCCCAGUGCUCGCUGGGA